rnacentral:ncRNA from 1 species
GAGAAAUCGAUGACAUAAGAAGAGUACUAUAAUGGUGGUACGAGCAGAGAGCUAGUGGUCGGUGCAAACUAGCGUACCUUUUAUACGAAUGGACUUAUGAGAGCUGCUAAUCGCAGACGAACGCCUUACGUUACAAGGCUUUAAGUGGAAGCAAUGCCCUAUUGCUUCAAUUUGAGGUGGCAACGCGGUACUUAUCGUCCUCUAC